UCACCUGUGAACAAGAGAUACUUCAACUCCUCCACUUUGGGCAGCAACUCACCCCUGACCUGGACUGGGGACUAUGACCUCAGAAUUGGAAAUCCUGAUUCUCGUUCCUGCAGCUUUGGGUGUGAGCUGCUCCAGUGCAAGCUGGAGGCCACCACUUAAAGAAGGCAAUGACCCCACAUGGUCCUCAAAAAGUCGAGAUGAGGCUCUGAGGCCACCAAGAUGGAAGUGUUCUGUUGCCUGGCUUUGCCUGGAAAUUCUCAGUUCAAAUUAUUUGUGACAGCAUGAACCAAACUCUCACUUUACAGGGACCAAAUGGCUCAUAGCAAGUGGCCAGACACCCCAUGCUCCCGAAGCACCUCCCACAGGAGACUCACAGGGAUGCAGUCGAAUCCCUGUGAUAAGUCCACAAAACACAUGUGGAUGGGCAAACUCCCAUGCACUCUCAAACAUCCUUGAGAGGAUAAAGGGAAGAUCCACGACCGGACGAAACCACAUUUGUUUAUUUUCAGGAAGUGACAGUCAGCAACAGGAAGUGUUGGACCUGAAAUAAACACAACAUCCAGAUGAUCCAGUGAGACUGAAGAAAACCCAGAGGUGGCAUACGACCUGGUACUAAAUACAUUAGAGGGUUCCCCAGGCAACCAGAACGUGGAGUGUCCACCAGCAACCGAUCGUCAGCUGCAAAGCAGAGUAUGACGAGUAUGACCAGCGACUUCAGAGGCCACACCCUUGACAAUGCACACUUCAAUCCAGUGUUGUAUGUUGGAGCAGCAGUUUAUCGGCAGCUGAG